rnacentral:rRNA from 1 species
GUAGGGUGCGAGCGUUAAUCGGAAUUACUGGGCGUAAAGCGUGCGCAGGCGGUUCGUUGUGUUUGCGGUGAAAGCCCCGGGCUCAACCUGGGAAUGGCCGUGAAAACUGGCGAGCUGGAGUGUGGCAGAGGGGGGUGGAAUUCCAGGUGUAGCAGUGAAAUGCGUAGAGAUCUGGAGGAACACCGAUGGCGAAGGCAGCCCCCUGGGCUGACACUGACGCUCAGGCACGAAAGCGUGGGGAGCAAACAGGAUUAGAUACCCUGGUAGUCCACGCCCUAAACGAUGGCAACUGGGUGUUGGGGGAGCGAUUCCUCGGUACCGUAGCUAACGCGUGAAGUUGCCCGCCUGGGGAGUACGGCCGCAAGGUUA